rfam:Termitomyces sp. J132 unplaced genomic scaffold scaffold275, whole genome shotgun sequence.
UCGGAUAUGGUGUAAUGGCUAACAUUGCCGCCUCUCAUUUCAUGGUGUCAUCUUGACAUGUCCGCGGCAGCUCGGGGUUCGAUUCCCCGUAUCCGAA